rnacentral:rRNA from 1 species
GUCUACCGCUAUUCCACCCUGAAUGCACCCAGACUGGUCUCAUCUCAGAAGCUAAGCCAGGUCGGGCCUGGUCAGUACUUGGUUUGGAGAAUUAGGUGCUAUUAUUA